rnacentral:lncRNA from 1 species
GCUAGCUAAAUCUAGAGACCACUGAAGGUGAGCCAAGAAGAAGGGUCCAUGGAGAGAGCAGGGUAGGGCUGUAAUGGCUCAUGCUUGAAGCCCUAAGUCCACAUCUUGGAGAUGGUGUGAGCAGCACAAAGAACCCAAACUGAGCCCUAAACUGGUCCAGGGAGGAAGAGAAGAUAGAUCAGUUGGAACCUGAAGCUUCCCAAGCAGGCGAUGAAGGUUGGGGCAGCAAUAUGUGGAAAGAGCUGAGGGGUAAUCUCCAUGAAGACAGGACAGCUCUCCUGACUGCUGGAGUGAGUGAUGGAAUCUUGCUUUUCUGUAACCUCAGCCCAGGCCUGGCUCAUAGUAAAUGGCCACUAAUUAAAUUAUGAUGAGUGCACAGAAACCUUGUGAUGUAGGUAGUGACCAACAUGAUUCAAGAGCUAGACAAAGAUUCAGAAUGGUGACUGGACGUGUUGCAGAGCACAUAGUUGG